rnacentral:lncRNA from 1 species
CCACGUGUCAAAUGCGUAAAGCUAUACUAUUUUUGGCCCAAAAAAAAGGAAGAUGAGUACAGCCGCGUGGCUAUACUGUAUAUGUAUGUAUACGGACCCAGCCAGCGCUUACGCGCCACGCUUCGAACGAGUAGAACUGUUUUUUUUUUUUUUAAACAGUAUAGCUGCACGGCUAUACGAUUUUUAAAAGCAAUUAAUUGGAAAACUGAGUAUUGCUGGGCGGUUAUACUAUUUUAUUUAUUUAUUUAUAGUAUAUAUCAUUUUUAUUCAAUAAUAUGUGAGAAUUAUGUUUGAUGUUUGAUCCACAUGAUUUGGAGUGCCAUAUAGCAAGUCUGUUGGAGCUGCGUUUUCCCCUCCUAGAGGUGCCUUAAAUAUAUACCUUUCUGGAUCAACUCAACUUACAAGGGCUAGAAAUGGAGAGGAUGAAGCAAAGCCAAGAGGAAGCCUAAGCAAGUGAAACUCUCGCGAAUAGGAGAAGAAGUCUAUCAGCUCAAACUGAGAAAGAGGGGUGCAAACGGGGAACCACUUACACCGCCCUUUACUCUCUAACUAAGAAACGCGAGGAGUCUUCGGCAAAGCAACUCAAGACGGAGGUACACAGCUCGGAGCGGAUGGUUGGUGUAUCCCAUAAGCCCUUGUUAGCUUUCUCAACUUUCCAAUGUGUGACAUUUUCACCUUCACAUUCUCACAUGAUUAGGGUCGGCCUUGAGGUUUUAGUGGCCCACUACCAUAUAUUAAAUGAGGCUUUUUUAUCUGAUUUUUUUGUCAUAAUUUUUUUUUAAAACACAAUCGAUAAUAAAUAAACCAAAAGUACCACAAAGAUAAAAAUUAAAUUUAAAUAGCAAACAAAGAGGAAUAAAACCUGAUUUACUUAUAGGAAGGAACUACACUCUCCACCUU